AGCCGUGCAGAGAGCGCAGAGCGAACUAUUCUUUCGCCUUUUACUAAAGAAUACCGUGCGUUCGCUGCAUAUUGCGGCAUACGCUUAUUUUUGGAGGAGCUUUCCCAUUUUUGGGCU